UGAGGGAUAUUGCACAAUGGGCGAAAGCCUGAUGCAGCGACGCCGCGUGGGGGAUGAAGGCUUUCGGGUUGUAAACCUCUUUCGCUAUCGAACAAGGCCCGCUUAGGGUGGGUUGAGGGUAGGUGGAGAAGAAGCGCCGGCUAACUACGUGCCAGCAGCCGCGGUAAUACGUAGGGCGCGAGCGUUGUCCGGAAUUAUUGGGCGUAAAGGGCUUGUAGGCGGCUUGUUGCGCCUGCUGUGAAAACGCGGGGCUUAACUUCGCGCGUGCAGUGGGUACGGGCAGGCUUGAGUGUGGUAGGGGUGACUGGAAUUCCAGGUGUAGCGGUGGAAUGCGCAGAUAUCUGGAGGAACACCGAUGGCGAAGGCAGGUCACUGGGCCAUUACUGACGCUGAGGAGCGAAAGCAUGGGUAGCGAACAGG
rnacentral:rRNA from 1 species